UACAGAGGGGGCAAGCGUUGUUCGGAAUUACUGGGCGUAAAGCGCGCGUAGGCGGCUUUGCAAGUCGGGUGUGAAAUCCCCAAGCUUAACUUGGGAACUGCAUUCGAGACUGCAUUGCUAGAGUAUGGGAGGGGGAAGUGGAAUUUCCGGUGUAGCGGUGAGAUGCGUAGAUAUCGGAAGGAACAUCAGUGGCGAAGGCGCUCUGCUGGACCAUAACUGACACUCAGGGACGAAAGCUAGGGGAGCGAAUGGG
rnacentral:rRNA from 1 species